rnacentral:lncRNA from 1 species
AUCAAAUGUUGGUGGUAAUUUUAGUUAUGCCACUAUGAAAGCGUCGAUUGUUAAGUAGACAUAAAAAGUUUGAAGUAUGCACAAAGCCUGAAAGUGUCAAAUAUGGAACCUAAAAAAACCUGCCUUUGCCACUGACUGUAUAAAGGUUUUUUAAGGUCUGUUUGUCAAGCGUCAAGUCAGGUUACCUUGCUACUGGUACCAUGUAGUACAUCCUGCUUAAGCAGGUUGUACGCCAUCCAUACGACGUUUGGGCAUCUGUUUGUAAAAUAUUGCUGCAAAUCUUUUUGAGAGAGCCAUUACUAUGGAGAACCAUCUAAACCAUACAAGUGUGGAAACAUGGAUGUAAAUCUA